UGAUAUUGUAUUUUAUAACAGAUUUUUUGCAACUGUUACAGCACAGAACAUGACAAUAUCAAGUUUAUAUAAAAUUCCACUAAUUGCCUUUGACAGAGGUGUUGCUAAAAUAGCUAUUGCUAAAACAUACUACAUUCAUCAUUUUCAAAUAUCAGAUAUCCAACGUGAAGUGCAAUCACUAUUUACCGAGUUUGAGAAAAUUGAAGAAAACCAGUUUACUCAUGUUGUAAAAGAGGAAUUCAAUCAUGUAGCAAAAAUGCUUCAAACUAUAGACCGAUUCGUCAAAAACGAUGGGAUGCUAUUGGAACGGCUUGGAAAUUCAUUGCCGGGAAUCCAGACGCUAACGAUCUUAGUAUGAUUAAUUCAACUUUAAAUGGACUUAUAGCUAACAAUAAUGCUCAAGUCAAAAUAAAUAAAGAUAUGACACUUCAGUUGAAUGAUAGUCUUGAGAAAAUAAAGCAGGCCAUUAAAAUUUUUAACAGUUCUUCAAUGGAAUUUUACUCUUUAAACAUUUUCUUAAAUUUGAAAUACUUAGCAGAUAGAAUUGGAAUUAUUAUUGAAAGUAUCACACUAGCUAAAUUGGGAAUAACGAAUAUUCAACUCCUUAAUCAAGAAGAAAUAGACAUUGUAGUAGGAGAUAUGAAACGAAAUAAUCUUUCAGCUAACACAACUAUUGAAUUAUUUUUAUAUACAACCACAAAAGCUGCUGUAAGCAAUUCAGAACUCAUAUUAUUGAUUAUUGUCCCAAAACUCAAAACAAAAUUGUAUAGGAAAAUUCAAAUCUUCCCUGUAAUCAAUAGAAAUAAGACAAUUCAUGUUCCAAAUCCCUUUUUUCUAUCCUACCAAAACGCUAUCUAUUCGAGAUCGGAAGAGCACAUGU